rnacentral:rRNA from 1 species
AAAGGAAUUGACGGGGGCCCGCACAAGCAGUGGAUUAUGUGGUUUAAUUCGAAGCAACGCGAAGAACCUUACCAGGGUUUGACAUCCUGCUAACGAGGCGGAAACGCAUUAGGUGCCCUUCGGGGAAAGCAGAGACAGGUGGUGCAUGGUUGUCGUCAGCUCGUGUCGUGAGAUGUUGGGUUAAGUCCCAUAACGAGCGCAACCCUUAUUGCUAGUUGCUACGCAAGAGCACUCUAGCGAGACUGCCGUUGACAAAACGGAGGAAGGUGGGGAUGACGUCAAAUCAUCAUGCCCCUUAUAUCCUGGGCUACACACGUAAUACAAUGGCGUCCAACAACGGGAAGCAAAGCCGCGAGGUGGAGCGAAUCCCAAAAAGGCGUCUCAGUUCGGAUCGCAGUCUGCAACUCGACUGCGUGAAGUCGGAAUUGCUAGUAAUCGCGGAUCAGCAUGCCGCGGUGAAUACGUUCCCGGGCCUUGUACACACCGCCCGU